GAUGAAGAACGUAGCGAAAUGCGAUAAGUAAUGUGAAUUGCAGAAUUCAGUGAAUCAUCGAAUCUUUGAACGCACCUUGCACCCUUUGGUAUUCCGAAGGGUAUGCUCGUUUGAGUGUCAUUGUACUCUCACACUUCUAAUUCCUUUCGGGAUUGGGAGCGGUGGACUUGGGUGUUGCUGCUUUAGUUGUGGCUCACCUCAAAUAAGUUAGUGCAACUCUUGGUUGGACAUAGUACGGCGUGAUAAGUGUCUUCGCCGGCGCCUCUGUAAGGAGGGUGGCCGAUCGGGAGCUCUGUGCUUCAAACCGUCUUCGGACAAUCUUUGACAACUUGACCUCAAAUCGAGUAGGACUACCCGCUGAACUUAAGCAUAUCAAUAAGCGGACGA
rnacentral:misc_RNA from 1 species